rnacentral:rRNA from 1 species
UUUUUAACUCAAGUGGCGGACGGGUGAAGCAUACGUAAGAAUUUGCCUUUAGGAGGGGGAUAACAACUGGAAACGGUUGCUAAUACCCCAUAUGCUUUCGAGUGAAAUGGAUUUUUCCGCCUAAAGAGAAGCUUGCGGCUGAUUAGCUUGUUGGUAAGGUAAUGGCUUACCAAGGCGACGAUCAGUAUCUGGUUUGAGAGGACGAUCAGACACACUGGAACUGAGACACGGUCCAGACUCCUACGGGAGGCAGCAGUGGGGAAUUUUCCGCAAUGGGCGAAAGCCUGACGGAGCAAUACCGCGUGAGGGAUGACGGCCUAUGGGUUGUAAACCUCUUUUUUCAGGGAGGAAUCAAUGACGUGUACCUGAAGAAUAAGCAUCGGCUAACUCCGUGCCAGCAGCCGCGGUAAGACGGAGGAUGCAAGUGUUAUCCGGAAUCACUGGGCGUAAAGCGUCUGUAGGUGGUCAAAUAAGUCAACUGUUAAAUCUUGAGGCUCAACCUCAAAAUCGCAGUCGAAACUAUUAGACUAGAGUAUAGUAGGGGUAAAGGGAAUUUCCAGUGGAGCGGUGAAAUGCGUAGAGAUUGGAAAGAACACCGAUGGCGAAGGCACUUUACUGGGCUAUUACUAACACUGAGAGACGAAAGCUAGGGUAGCAAAUGGGAUUAGAUACCCCAGUAGUCCUAGCCGUAAACAAUGGAUACUAGAUGUUGAACAGAUCGACCUGUAC